UUUGUCCUGAGAACGAGCGCUUUCUACCGCCACCUUCAGGAGACCCUGAAACACCGCAGGACACGUUAUCAUACAUGUCUUUUUCCAUCUAACCUGUAUGUUGGUCAGCAGCGUCUCCAUGGAUGACAGUCCCUCAGCCAAUAAGAAGGGAGUGAAGGCGGGGUUUGCAGGAGUUGACAGCGGCGAAGAGUUUGUCCUGAAGGCGGCGCUGCAGGAAACAUCAUGGAGUCAUUCAGUCUGAAGAGUUCAUCCUCAAAACGUUUCAUCCAACAUCAAUUUACACUCAUUACUUCUGCUUAUUGUCAAUCUUUGUACGUUUUCAUUAAUAAAUGUUUGUCUAAAUGUUUUGGAUGAUGAGGAGGUGAAGAAGACGAUGAGAUGAAGGUAAAUGUGGAGUAUUAGUUGCUGAUGAUCAAUAAUUAACGAAUGUCUCCAGUGAACGUCCUCUCUGCCUGCAGCAUGUUGGAGCCACUUGGCCCAAUUAAUUGCCUCCUCUAAUUAAUUCAAUCAGUAUUAACGUGGGACUCCUGCUAACGAGUUCUUUUAGUGAUUCUCAGUUCCAUGUGAUUAGCAUCAUGCUAACGACAUUCAAAGUAAAAAUAUCUGAUUGUUAUUAAAGUAAAAGCAGCUGUUAUUCUAUACUUUAUAAUAAUAAUUCUAUACUUUUUAUACGUUCAGACAGGAAGUAAUAGUACAUUUGUUCAUACUAUUUCCAGCAGCGGAUGAAUCACAUAAAGAAGUCGUGUUUCAGGUUGAACUGGUAUCAAAUAUUCACAAUACAAUUAUCACAGGUAAAAAUAUCACAAUAAACAGUUAUAUAAUGAUAAUCAUCACAAGUUUCUUGAACUCCUGCUGUCAGUGAAACAUUGUUAAAUAUAAUUUAAAUAUAGUUAAAUUACUGUGUGAUCACCGUUGACUGUGCUGUUGAAAGCAAAAGGAAAAUAAUGUGAAUUAUUUUAAACUCCCACCAAUGAAGAGUCAUAUGUAAUGACUUCCUUGGAUAAAAAGCAUCCUGCAGAUCACAGAAACAACUAUA